GUGCCAGCCGCUGCGGUAAUACGUAGGGUGCGAGCGUUAAUCGGAAUUACUGGGCGUAAAGCGUGCGCAGGCGGUGAUGUAAGACAGAUGUGAAAUCCCCGGGCUCAACCUGGGAACUGCAUUUGUGACUGCAUCGCUGGAGUGCGGCAGAGGGGGAUGGAAUUCCGCGUGUAGCAGUGAAAUGCGUAGAUAUGCGGAGGAACACCGAGUGGACGAAGGCAACUCCCCGUGGGCCUGCACUGACGCUCAUGCACGAAAGCGUGGGGA
rnacentral:rRNA from 1 species